UCGGUGCCCACCUCGCUGCCCGCCUCGCCUCCCUGCCCGGGCAGGAGCCGCACGGCCCCGCGAGGGAGGCGGGGCGGUGAGCGGCGUUGAGCGGCCGGCGCGGGGGGUGAGGAGCAUCGGGCUGUGCUGAGGGGUCCGGCCGUGCCCUCGGCCCGCCGGGCUCUGCGCCAGCGCUGGGAGCCAAGCCUGGCCCUCCUGGCGUGGGAAAACAAUCCCGUAGCGCCCGCUCGCCACAGUGCUGCUCUGCUGCCAUGAAAAUGUGUGUCACGUACCUGGAGUAGAAUCGUAGAAUCGUAGAAUCAUCGAGGCUGGAAGAGACCUUUAAGAUCAUCCAGCACAACUGUCCACCCAGCACUGCCACUGUAACCCCUAAACCACAGAAUCAUAACACCCAGCACCAGAUCCAGAUGCCUCCUGAACACCUCCACCCUGGGCAACAUAUUCCAGUGCCUGAUCACCACAACAGUGAAAAAAAUUUUUCUAAUAUCCAGUCUGAAUCUCCCCUGUCUCAGUUUAAAGGCCUUAAGUAGCCGCUAUUGGAGUUACAGUACAGCUAGACUAGGCUGGUAGUCCAGUUGGUUUUGCAUCACCAAAUUAUCCUUUUCUUAUAAAUGUUAGCAAAAUGAAAAAAAAAAAGCAACUCAAUAAAAAGUCUUAAACACUUCAGGUUUAAGAUAUAAACGAACUAGGUUUUAGCUGCCAAUCAUAAAACGACCAACCCUAAUCACUAUUUGAAUUUUGAGGGGGAAAAUAUGCUUUACCAAUUCAAUUAUGCUUAUCUAGACACCACGGGAAUAUUACCUGAAACUCUAGUACAAGUGCUGAGCUCUAAGGCUAGGGAAGUUUUCAAAUAAAAGCAACCUCCACCAAUAUAAUAAAUUUUAAUUUAAGGUAUGAUGCACAGCACUAGUAAGAACAAAAUGCCUUUCAACUUUCAAGGUCAAAAUCUAAUGAAGACAUGCUAAUUGUAGGUUUUACACACCAUUUCUAAAGGAGCAUGACAACAUGGUCCUAGACAUGCACUUGCAUUAACAUCUCAUGAUCAACAACCUGGCACUUUGGGUUUGUUUUUCUUCAGCAGCAGAAGAAACCAAACUCAAAACCAAACUCAAUCUUUGACAGUUCAUAAGCAGCAUUUAACAGAACUAAAUUUUUAACAUUUCAGCUAAAUCUCACAACCCAUAACAGCAUGCCUCUUGAAUUCCUGAGCUAAACAGGGGGAAGUUAAAGAGCAUCCUUGCUUCUUUUGAAGCUCUUGAAGGUUUGGACUCCUUUACACUGUGAAAACGUUUGGGGAGAAGAUUGGGAGUUCCUGAACAUUAUUGAGCUUGUUCACAAUUGAGACCUAAAUAUCCGUGACAAAGUCUGCGUACAUCCUGUGUUCGUGUGUCUCAAAAGAAGAGAAUAAAGUCAAAAGCAAGUCCUACUCUGUAACAACAACUAAAAAAGCUUCAUCUCUGGGGCUUAAUCUCUUUCACAUUUGCAUACAUCUGUCAGUCUUACAUGCCCGUGACGCUGCCAGGCAGCUGGGAAGCACCUCUUCAGCAUUAUACCAGGACUAUAUCCAUCCUUGAAAAUUAUAUCACUGUUUCUGCCAUACUCUACAACUGCAAACAGUGUCUGUUUAAUAAACAAUGCUCAAAGUA